GAUGAACGCUGGCGGCGUGCUUAACACAUGCAAGUCGAACGGUAACGCCCUGCUUGCUUGGUGUAUUCGUGGGGAACGGGUGUGUGAAACAUGAGUAUACCGCCCUCUACUCUUUGGUAUGCCCUGAAGAAUGGGGCGCUAACUGGAUAGAGACGUCUACCGCACGGUGGGUGUUGGAGAGAGUUUCGGUUUUGGAUGGUCUCGCGGCCUAUCAGCUUGUUGGUGGUGGAAUGGCUCACCACGGCGGCGACGGGUGGUCGGCAGGAGAGGGUGACCGGCCACACUGGGACUGAGAGACGGCCCAGACUCCUACGGGAGGCAGCAGUGGGGAAUAUUGCACAAUGGGCGGAAGCCUGAUGCAGCGACGCCGCGUGAGGGAUGACGGCCUUCGGGUUGUAAACCGCUUUCGGUUGGGACGAAGCGAGAGUGACGGUACCUGAAGAAGAAGCACCGGCUAACUACGUG
rnacentral:rRNA from 1 species